rnacentral:snoRNA from 12 species
AGCCUCAUUCUAGAUAAAAAUGGGCACUGUUGAUUUAGGUGUUCAGAAAUAGAUGUGGCUACAUUGAUACAGGUUAAGCUUCCACCACAGCAUCUAUUGCAUUGGUGACAAUGAGGCCUGCAACAUGU